CUGGUUACACUUUUGCGGAAAACUGCACGCGAGCUGUCAAUGUAGUAGCUUCCGGUGGUCUACUCUCAGAGCGCUAUCUAGGGAAGGCAGAGCCUACAAGCAGGGCAGAGCUCAACACCGCCUCCCUCAGUAAGUACAAGAAC
rnacentral:lncRNA from 1 species